AUGAUGCUGUUAAACAGCAGGAUGCAAGAAGUAUUAACUUGGCUCCACAGAACUAGAAAGUCAACACCAGUUGUGCACUCCCUCUCACACACAUGGCUUCUUUCCCUCUGCUUCUCCCUCACCUUCCAUUCCAACUCAUCUGUUUACAGGUGCUCUAUACUGGAUAUAGGAGUUGGCAGUCAACACCCAUGCCUACUUCCUUCUAUUAUUCCCAGGGGCAGAUUCAUGGGCAUCCCACCUAUGCACAGAGCUGUAUUCAGAAGGGCCACACACUUCGUUUUAUGCCCUGCUGUGACUGUCAUAAAAUUUUUAAUAAUUUUAUCUUUGAAUUUGUGUUUACUUUGUAAGUGAAGUCUGAUGGGACAAAGGAGCACGCACAUCAGCAGAGGCUGAAUGGGCAAUAUGCACAUCUGUUGUUCCUCGCUGCCUCAUGGAACUGCCCCUACAGUGUUUGCAAUACUCCAUGAGCAGAGAAUUCUGGUGGACCAGUGAUGCCUGGGAGAUUAGCCAAACUCAAAGCCAGUACAAGAGGCUGGAAAUCUACAAACUGAAAACUAGAGUUCUGCAUGCAAAAUAGAUUCUGCAAAUCAGAUGCACUUGCAAGAGAUUUGAAUGCAAGAGAAACAGAAGCUGUUUUUCCUGCUGCUUUUGGCAGUGUUCCAUGGGCAGGUAGGGUUGUAGAGUUGCCAGUGGUCCUUCAACCUUGAGAAUGAUGUGACAGAGUGGCAGCGGCACAAGCAGCAGGCUCGCUCUUCCAAGAUCUAAGAAGCAGCGACAGCAGCUGUGGCAGCUUAGAUCCUGUACUCCUGGGAUCUGGAUUACAGCUAUGGUGGUGAGUUUUUGGAGACCAUUUCUGCCAGUUCUGGAGUUUUCUAGGAGUCAUUCUUGGACUUUCAGCCUGCUCCUUCAAACUUUCCAGUGAUUUUGUAAAACCUUCAAUUCCCUAUAUUAAGUCCUUUUUCUCUGCUUGAAAUAAGUAAAACACAGUUGCUGGAAAACAACUCCAAAAUAUUAUUCUAAUGGAAUGUACCUGUACCAGGCCACCAUUAAUAAUGAUGAGACUAAGGUAAAAACAUCUGGUCAAUUUAAAAAGACACAACACACAACUUUUUGGUAUGUAUUUAUUCAUUAAGUCCUUUCUUUACUUAAAACAAACCAACCAACCUGGAGUAGUUUCUUUGAUGACAAGGAUCCUCUCAUGCCUGUUCCCAACUCAUAUUCCACACUUCAUGUUCAGAACUUUUUCAACAGCUCUUUUUUUUCAAAGUAAGAAGUUGAAAACUUUGGGCUCCACUAUGCUCAGGACUUUAUGAAGCUUCACAUACAGCCUUUUACCACAAAAUAGACAAGGUCUGGGCUCAACUCCCCGCCCCCCAAGUGGCCCAUUUCUGACCGUGCCUCUGUCCCUCCUACCUCACCCAUACCCUCACUCCCUGCCUUCUCACCUCCUAGGGUUUUGAGUUCCUUUACCCCUCCAUUUCUUCAAGCAAUACCAGUCAGCUGGAAACUCAUCAACCCUCCCUAUCUGAAAAUGUCCUGUCCUUAAAGAGCCCAUGGUUAGUUAAGAGAGGCAGUAGAGUAAAUAAAUCUAACAAGAUUGAGAACCUUUAUUUUUUUAAUUAAAGUCUCAUUGAUAUACAAUCUUAUGAAAGUUUCACAUGAGCAUUGUGGUUUCAGCAUUCACCCACAUUAUCAAGUCCUCACUGCCCCCCACCUUGUAGUCACUAUUAGCGAGAACCUUUUAUUUCUUAAACAGCUACAUAAAAAUUCCUCAUGAAGGAGGACACCUUUGUGGUCUAAGGCUGAGAUUCCAGAUUCUUUUAAGAUGGUAGAUCCUGUUAACGCAUGUGCUGUUUGUGUCCAGCAACACUGCUAAAGCUUCAUUUUAGUUUUGUUAACUCUGCUGUUUUUCAAAAUAGACUAUAUUAAUUUUAAAUAAUGACAGUUUUAUCUUUCCUUUUAUUUCUAGAAUGUUACAGAAAUGAGUAAUAUGGUAUAACAUCAUGAAUGGCUUUUCUUGGUAGAAAAUUCUCUGCAGAUCAGUCCAGAUUGUAUGAAUUAAUAAGUAUUUCAUUCCUUUUUAUUGCUAAGUGUGCAGUAUUCCAUGGUAUGGACAUACCACAGUUUAACAGUUCACCCACUUAAGGACAUCUGGAUUGUUUCCAAUUUGGGGCUAGUAUGAAUAAAGCUGUUAUAAACAUUCAUUUACAGGUUUUUGUGUGAACAUAGUCUUCAUCUCUCUGGGAUUAAAGCGUCAAGUGCAAUUGCUGAGUCAUGUGAUAAUUGUGUGUUUAGUUUUUAAAGAAACUGCGAAACAUUUUCCAGAUGGCUGUACCAUCUAACCUUCUUACCAGCAAUGAGUGAAUGAGGGAUCCAGUUUCUCCACAUCCUUGCCAACAUUUGGUGGUGUCACUAUUUCUUUAUUUAGACUUCAGAUAGGACUGCAGCGAUAGCUCAUGAUGGUUCUAAUUUGCAUUCUCUAAUGGUUAAUGAUGUUAAACUUAUUUUCAUUUGCUUAUUUGUCAUCUGUAUAUCCUUUUUGGUGAAAUGUUUGUUCGUAUCUUUUGCCAUUUUCCAAACGGACUGUUGUUUUUUACUGUUGAAUUUUGAGAGUUCUUUAUACAUUCUAGAUAUCGGGCCUGUGUUGAAUAUGUUGUAGACAUUUAUUUUCUCCCAUUCUGUAGCUUGUCUUAACAAGAUCCUCUUCACAAGAUCUUUUGCAAACAUUUACAAUUUUGAAGUAUAAUUUAUUGAUUCUUCCUUCUAUGGGACAUGCUUCUGUUGUAAAGUCUAAGAACUCUGCCUGAGUCUAACCAAAGAGCUUCUCUUAUGUUUUUUACUAAAGGUUUUAGUUCCACGUUUUACAUUAAAGCUUUUAUUAAAUUUGAGUUAAUUUAUAUGUAAGGUUUGAGAUUCAGGUAAAAUUUAAUUUCAGGCCUAUAGAUAUUUAGUUGCUCCAGCACCAUUUGUUAAAAAGGCUAUCUUUCCUCCAUUGAAUUUUUUGCACCCUUGUCAAAAAUUAGUUGGGCACUGAAAUUUGAAAAUUUGUGUGAGUCUCUUUCUGUAUUCUCUGUUCUGUUCCAUUGAUCUAUGUAUUUAUCCCUCUGCUAAUUUCACACAGUUUUGAUCACCUUAGCUAUGUAAGUCCUUAAGUCAGAAACUCCUUUUACUUUGCUUGAGAUUAUUUUAACUAUUACAGUUCUUUUUCUUUUCCAUAUGAAUUUUAAGAUGAUCUUGUCUAUACCUAAAUGAUCUUGCUGGGAAAUGGCUGGGAAUUGCAUUAAGCAUAUAGAUCAAUUUGUUUUUCUUUCAUAGUUAUUGUCUUCUUAUAUGUCCAAUUAUCUUGGUUUAUAAUCUCACAUUCUCCUGGUACUAGUUAUUGUGUUAAUAUGUAUUGAGGAGGGGCUGAAGGCAAGUCUCAGUGUCCCUCCCAGUGAAUUUAAAGAGAGAGAGAGAAUAAGUUCCAGUGUGAAAAGCCUCAGACACCAAAGUUCCUUUGGCUGCCACUUUAUUAGGCCACUCCUCUGGUCAGGGAUUUACCUAUAAAUUCUUGGAAAGAAACCCCAGUGUAGGAGGUAUUCUUCUUAGUUUUUGAUUCCCUGUCCUAAAAAGAUGGGGUAGGGGUGGGAGAACUGAAUGUUGAGGGCUGCUAGCACCUAUAUUCACCCCAACAGGGCUUUUGUACUCCCCUGUUGUUAUUCUGGUGACACAGGGAAUCUGGACUAUUAUGUAAUGGAGGAAAAUUAGAACUUCGAAACUUUCAACCCACUGUCUUGUCCUCCAAUCCUCCACUAUGGCGACAGCUACUAGUACUAGUGAGCACAGUGCAUGCCACACACACACACACACACACACACACACACACACACACACACACACACACACACACACACACACACACACACACACACACACACACACACACACACACACACACACACACACACACACACACACA